UCUCAUAAACUCAAACGAUAUAAGAUACAAAAUCACAAUGUAGAACAUAUCCCAGAUUUGUAAAGACAUGAUCGUGCUUAUAAAUAUAAAAUUUAAACUGAAUUGUUAUAGGUUUAUUAGAGAAAUGGUAUGAAUUAGAUGUGAAAGUAGUGUGGUCCAUGCAUGUGAAGAUGGUUGGUUGUUGAUGAUAGCUCCCCCAAUAAGAGUCAACAUCUGAGAGAAGGGUUGCACUUUGAGAGGAAUGCAAUUAAGAUAAAGAGUGACAAAAUUUGCAGGGUUGGCGACAAUGAAGAUAUGCACGGUCACUGUGUGGACGUGACAUCAAAAUUACAGUACUGAUGCCGACCGUGUAAUAGGUUGCCAAAACUUGUGGCUCAAAACUAAGGAAAUGGCUUGAAACGUGGAAAGAUUGUGUAGAUCACAGUAUUGGACAUGGUUUGCAGCUAGAUUUGGUUAUCAAUUAACCCGCUUUCUUAUUAAGUUAAGCCUCCUCAAAUGACAGCCACACAAUAACAUCAACCAUUUCAGCCCACAAACUUCGGAGACAGACACAGUUUUAUCAUGGAACAGUUAAU
rnacentral:lncRNA from 1 species